UUAUAGGGAGACCUACCCACUUGGAGUCGAAAACGACGAGUGAAUAGACCUAAGUUGGUCAACCCAAGGUCGGUCGAGGAUAAGUCAAGGCUUCUAAACUAUCUAGGUUUGGUUCAUGGGCUAUUAGCUCAGGUGGUUAGAGCGCACCCCUGAUAAGGGUGAGGUCCCUGGUUCGAGUCCAGGAUGGCCCACCUUGGGGGUUCAGCUCAGUUGGUAGAGCGCCUGCUUUGCAAGCAGGAUGUCAGCGGUUCGAGUCCGCUAACCUCCACUGAGAAACGAUUCAGCAACUUGUCUAACUAGAGCGCUAGGAUAGAGAGCCUGCUGGAUACGUUCCAGCGAAGAACCUUGAAAACUGCAUAGUAACUUGUCAGGUAGAACGGCUGAUAGCGAAUCGCUAUCAGUAGACAGACACCAAUGAAUGACUUAAGCGAAGUCAAAUUUAGU
rnacentral:tRNA from 1 species